AGGCACAGGCGGGAGGUGGGCAGUGCGCAAUCGCAGUGCUCUCGUGUGCGUUCUGGGAGCUGAUGUGUAACCGUCGAGUGGCUCGAUGUUCUUAUGGGAGCUGCUUCAAGUCACUGUCCUGACGAAGGAGAACACCUUGAACCGUUUAUUUCUUUAUAGAUAUAUUUCGAGCUUCUUCAACAAUAAAUAAAAACUUGCCUCCUCUUCCACGCAACAUAAAAAGGAGAAUAAAAGCUUAGUGUGUCUGAAAUUAACGCAGUUUCUAAGAGACCUCCGGGGGUCCUUGCUUGCAUUUUUCUGAGGUAAAAUGUGCUUGUCCACUGUCUGUUUCGGAGCAAAGCUACAAAAUAACAAGCGGUCGUUACGUUUUUUUCUCACAAAAAGGGCAGAAAAUCUACAAAAGAAAGAGAAUCAGUUCAGUGUAAGAGAUAAACGUAGGCGACGCUGCGCGUGCUCUGACGCGCUAGGCCCACUGGGAGUUGUAGUUCCUGUGAACGGGAGUCCAGUGAGGGAAGUGGGGGUGACGGCAGGUGGGAACUACAUGUUCCAGUGGCCUCUGCGGCGGAUCCAAACUGCUGUGUGGAUGUGUGUGGUGUAAGUCCCCCUCUGCGCUGGUGAUAUGAUGAUGAUGAUGAUAGGGGUUGUGGUUCAGGGGGUAGUAGAGACAAACCAUUACAAGAGAGAGAGAGAUUCAGCUUCAUCACCGCUAGGGAGCUAGCUGCAAGGGAAUCAGAGAGGGAACGAAGGCGUAAUCCUCCUCGCGCCCCCAAUCAUGGAACCUUAUAACCAUCCUCACCACUACUAACGGCAGGGAGUAUACAAAGGGUCAGCCUGCAGAAUACAGAGCCCAGCUGCAAACAACACCACAACCCUCCAAUCAGUAACACAUUGCACAUUUGGCUUUGUUACUGAAACACUGCUGAAGGAUCUGAUUUGAUAUUGAAUUUGAUGUUCUAACGGAGACUUCCUGGUUCGGACUGUGCACUACUCAUUAAUGAUACUUCAGUGAUUUGAUUAAGGGCCAUGCAGAUGGCUAGUCCCAGAUGAAUCUAACCACAGGUUCUGAGCCGCCCAUCCAGCAGUGCGACUGUGACAAAACAUGGAGGAGCACAGAACAGUUUGCUGCCCCCUGUAAAAUGAGAGAUUCUGCAAGUUCCCAAGCUAAAGAAUGGCCUUUUAAACCGUGAUUUGGAGGUACCAGUGUUGGACUGGGAUCAUUUUGAAGCCAGCUGCAUUAGAAUACCCAUCAAAUAUCAGCAUUGCUAAAAGUGACUAAUCACAUGUCCUCCUCACGUUCGUGGUCUCCUAAAUUUGAAAGCAAUUACACAUUACAAGGAUAUACUUCCCAACCCAAUACCUGCAGUUUUUGUGUCUGUUGGGGAUCAGGUGAAUCCCCAGUGUAUGC